rnacentral:rRNA from 1 species
AUUGAACGCUGGCGGCAUGCUUUACACAUGCAAGUCGAACGGCAGCGCGGGCUUCGGCCUGGCGGCGAGUGGCGAACGGGUGAGUAAUGCAUCGGAACGUGCCCAGUAGUGGGGGAUAGCCCGGCGAAAGCCGGAUUAAUACCGCAUACGACCUGAGGGUGAAAGCGGGGGACCGAAAGGCCUCGCGCUAUUGGAGCGGCCGAUGUCGGAUUAGCUAGUUGGUGCGGUAAAGGCUUACCAAGGCGACGAUCCGUAGCUGGUCUGAGAGGACGACCAGCCACACUGGGACUGAGACACGGCCCAGACUCCUACGGGAGGCAGCAGUGGGGAAUUUUGGACAAAGGGGGCAACCCUGAUCCAGCCAUGCCGCGUGCGGGAAGAAGGCCUUCGGGUUGUAAACCGCUUUUGUUCGGGAAGAAAUCCUCUGGGCUAAUACCCCGGGGGGAUGACGGUACCGGAAGAAUAAGCACCGGCUAACUACGUG